rnacentral:rRNA from 1 species
AAUAGAUACCCAGGUAGUCCACGCCGUAAACGAUGAGUGCUAAGUGUUAGAGGGUUUCCGCCCUUUAGUGCUGAAGUUAACGCAUUAAGCACUCCGCCUGGGGAGUACGGCCGCAAGGCUGAAACUCAAAGGAAUUGACGGGGGCCCGCACAAGCGGUGGAGCAUGUGGUUUAAUUCGAAGCAACGCGAAGAACCUUACCAGGUCUUGACAUCCUCUGAAAACUCUAGAGAUAGGGCCUCUCCUUCGGGAGCAGAGUGACAGGUGGUGCAUGGUUGUCGUCAGCUCGUGUCGUGAGAUGUUGGGUUAAGUCCCGCAACGAGCGCAACCCUUGAUCUUAGUUGCCAUCAUUAAGUUGGGCACUCUAAGGUGACUGCCGGUGACAAACCGGAGGAAGGUGGGGAUGACGUCAAAUCAUCAUGCCCCUUAUGACCUGGGCUACACACGUGCUACAAUGGACGGUACAAAGAGCUGCAAGACCGCGAGGUGGAGCUAAUCUCAUAAAACCCGUUCUCAGUUCGGA